CUGGUGUUGGGUAUAGUGUCGUUUUCUGCGUUAUGGUGACUGUCCUUGUGAUUGCUGGCUUAUGGUGACUGUCUUAAUCUUGCUGUGUGUUAUUUGGUGUUGUGGCGAUAUCCUGAGAUGCUGAAGAUGACGGGAGGACUGAGGACUGUGGGUGAAGAAGGAGCGAGUCACCCCCAUUCACCCCAAGCUGAUGAUGAUGAUGGGUGUGGUUCGGGGAGGUGAGAGGUGGAGUCUUGUGGUCAUCCGUUCUUCUGGGACCCGAGGGAGGACUUGUAGGUGGACUUGUGGAGCAGUGAUUGAAGGGGACGACGAGGAGGAGGAAGAGGAAGAGGGAGCUGGUGAGAGGAAGGAAAGAGAGAGGAGGAAGAGAGAGUGAGAGAGAAAGGAAGGAGAGAGGAGGAGGAAUAAGAACUGAGAGAAGGGGAAAGGAAGGAGAGGUAAGCACUUCAGAAUGAGGAAUAUGGAAGAGAGAAGGAGGAAUAGGAACUGAGAGAAUAGAAAAAGGAAGAAAGGAAGGAUAGAAACAGGAACUAGAGGAUAGGAAAGCACUUAUGAACGAGGGAGAUAGAGUAGAGAAGGAGGAAUAGGAACUGAGAGAAUAGAAAAAGGAA